rnacentral:rRNA from 1 species
UACGUAGGCAGCGAGCGUUGUUCGGAGUUACUGGGCGUAAAGAGUGCGUAGGCGGUUUUCUAAGUUUGGUGUGAAAUCUCCCGGCUUAACUGGGAGGCUGGAGACGAGUAGAGGCAAGCGGAAUUCCGGGUGUAGCGGUGGAAUGCGUAGAGAUCCGGAAGAACACCGGAGGCGAAGGCGGCUUGCUGGGCUCGGUCUGACGCUGAGGCGCGAAAGCGUGGGGAGCGAACAGG